ensembl:lncRNA
UGAAGGGGUCUGUGUCCCCCAAAUACCUGCUCGGCAUUUUGUCCUGCUGGAAAAGCCCUCACUGAGGAGUGCCAGGAUGGAAAAAGGAGCCAACUUUUCUGGAGACUCAGGACCCAUUUGGCAGAGAAACACAAAGAAAAGGCAGAGAAUGCAGCCUGGGGAGAUGGAAGAUGCCAGUCAGGACUCACUAGUGUCUAGGAAUGGAAGGCCUAAUCCAAAGAGUUUCUAGUGGUUGCCUCUAGCACCUUGUUAAGAAGCAUUCUGGGCGGCAUCCAGGCUCAUCAGGAAAGAAGUCGUGAUUAAGCCAAGUCUGCUUUGGACAUGGGGUGGAGAGGUCGCAGAGUUUGCCAUCCCGGGUUUUCUCAGUAUCCAGUACCAACUGGAAGAAGCUCCUGCCAGCCAUGUAAGAAGGAGAAUGUCAGGCUCUAAACAGAGAGAGCCUUGGAGAGCUGAGGAGAUUCCCCAGCUUCUUCCUGCUCAUCAUUUUCAGUGCCUGACGUCCAUUUCCACAGAGGAAUUAGCAGGUGAGAAGCCGAGUCAGUGGGAGGCAGCACUCCGGAACUGAAGGACUCCAUCCUCAAGGGCUGACCAUCCCAUCUUGUGGACCCCUUCAUCUCCAGACGAUGCUGCCCAGGACCUGAGGGUUCUUAGACCGCCCUCUCCUUCUGUGUGCUCCAGGUUAGUGCCACAGUCUGUAAGAAGCGAGUGGAAUCAGAGAAUAUCAGCAGCACAAGGGGCUUCAGAGACUGCCUCACCCCACUUUCUAAUUUGACAUAUGGAUAAAACGAAGUCCAUGGCAGAGAGAUGCCGAGUCUCAGGGCGCAUCACUAGUUGGUGACUAGCUUUAGGUCCUGACCCUAGGCUGGCAAGUUUGGCAUAGUAAUAGAUAAUAGCAAGAGCGCGCACACACACACACACACACUCACACACACACACACACACACACACANNNNNNNNNNNNNNNNNNNNNNNNNNNNNNNNNNNNNNNNNNNNNNNNNNNNNNNNNNNNNNNNNNNAGUGUUGUGUGCAUAUUAUCUUCCCCAUUUUAUGCUUAAGGACUGCAAAGCUCAGAGAUGUUAAAUAACUCGUCCAAAGUCACAGCUAGUGACUGGCAGAGCCAGAACUUGAACUCAAACAGUCUGGCUCUGCUCUUGACCCCAGCACAGUCCUGACAUACUAGCGUGCGGUCUUGGCUCACUUACGGUCCAGAGGAAGGAUCUCUAAUAAAUUCCUUGGCCAGAGGAUUCCUGGCUUGAUAUCUUACCCUUGGAGGGACAUUUCCUGAAACAUGAAGGUAUGAGGUGCUAAAGUAAGGCUUCGACCAAAACUAAAACUAAGCAAAAAUGUCCAUGGUCAAACAAAUGUGCAAAGUUGUAUUAAAACAAGUUAAACAGAAUUGCUUUUACCACAGAACUUCUCAGAGCCUUCAAUAUGCCAAUGGACACUGUGAAUUUUCUAAAAGAGUCUAAAAGCAUUUCCUAAACCUUUUGGAACAUAGAGCAUUUUUUCAUGCAUUGAUGUCAUCACACAUCAUGUGGCUUCUGGAAAACUCAAUCAAGUUAAAAAGGCAAAUUUUAUUUGAUGUAUUGUUAUGAAAAUAGCUUUGACCUCAAGAAUGCACUAAAAUGGAAAACAACUUUGACUCAAAGAUACCCUCCAGGGUUUCCUGGAACACAGUUUGAGAACUGAUGUCCUAGAAAAUAAUAUAUUAAAAGUAAGACUUGAGGGACACGAUCAUGGGCUAAAUAGCAUCUUGUCCUUGUGAAAGACAAGGAGAAAAACGAAUGAAAGAGCAUGAAUGUGUUUUAAGAAUCAGUCCUUCUUUCUACUAACUCCUUAUUUUCCCUUUUCUUUUGCUUCUCUUCCCUCCUUUCUUCUUUUCNNNNNNNNNNNNNNNNNNNNNNCAUAAAAGGAUUUAAAGUGGCUCACUCUUCCAGUAAGUCAACCUUCUUAUUGAUAGAGACACAUGGCAGAAUAAGUAAAGUGUUAUUUUAAUGAGGGGGGGUGCUGUCCCUAUCCCCCCAGUUCUCCUUGAUUUGCACCCCUAUAAAUCAACCUGAAAUUUCUAUCAUUAGCAUUUUGUUUGUUUAGGUAAAGCCAUGUCUUUCUAGAAAGAGGCUCUGGCUCAGAUAUAAUUUGGAUAUGGCAGGAAGUGUGACAUGUUGGGCUACACCACUUGAGUCUCUGCACAAGUGGCUCAGUUUAGGAAGGUUUUCCCGAAUAAGAAUCCUGAGGGAUCGGAACUCAGAAUGGGGGAGUACUGCAGCAGCUACCCUCAGGGGACCCUAGAAAGUGAGGUACCUAGUGAGAAGUAGCUGCUGUUUUUAAGGGAGAUGUCCAAAGGUACCUUUUAUUCAUUUAACAAUUUGGGGUCUGCCCUGGAUCCGAGGUCAUUGUGUGUUUCUACUAGACUAGAGUUCUUUGAGGACUUCCCUGGUGGCUCAGACAGUAAAGAAUCUGCCUGCAAUGCAGGA